rnacentral:misc_RNA from 1 species
UAAUAAGUGUUUUAUGGCACUUUUUAAAUCCAUAUCCACCUUGUGUGCAAUGUCAGUCGAUCUUCUUUUCAUGGAGGAUCGACCAAACAUCAACCUUUAUUUUUUAACUCUUUGUCUGAAAAAUAUUAUGAAUAAACAAUUCAAAAUA